CAACCUGUGAAACUGCCAUUGAUACUGCAGGUCUUGAGUGUUGUUGAAGUAGCUGGAAUAAGUAGUGUAGCGGUGAAAUGCAUAGAUAUUACUUAGAACACCAAUUGCGAAGGCAGGUUACUAAGCAACAACUGACGCUGAUGGACGAAAGCGUGGGGAGCGAACAGGAUUAGAUACCCUGGUAGUCCACGCCGUAAACGAUGCUAACUCGUUUUUGGGUUUUCGGAUUCAGAGACUAAGCGAAAGUGAUAAGUUAGCCACCUGGGGAGUACGGACGCAAGUCUGAAACUCAAAGGAAUUGACGGGGGCCCGCACAAGCGGUGGAUUAUGUGGUUUAAUUCGAUGAUACGCGAGGAACCUUACCAAGGCUUAAAUGGGAAAUGACAGGUUUAGAAAUAGACUUUUCUUCGGACAUUUUUCAAGGUGCUGCAUGGUUGUCGUCAGCUCGUGCCGUGAGGUGUUAGGUUAAGUCCUGCAACGAGCGCAACCCCUGUCACUAGUUGCCAUCAUUAAGUUGGGGACUCUAGUGAGACUGCCUACGCAAGUAGAGAGGAAGGUGGGGAUGACGUCAAAUCAUCACGGCCCUUACGCCUUGGGCCACACACGUAAUACAAUGGCCAGUACAGAGGGCAGCUACCAGGCGACUGGAUGCGAAUCUCGAAAGCUGGUCUCAGUUCGGAUUGGAGUCUGCAACUCGACUCUAUGAAGCUGGAAUCGCUAGUAAUCGCGCAUCAGCCAUGGCGCGGUGAAUACGUUCCCGGGCCUUGUACACACCGCCCGUCAAGCCAUGGAAGUCUGGGGUACCUGAAGUCGGUGACCGUAACAGGAGCUGCCUAGGGUAAAACAGGUAACUAGGGCUAAGUCGUAACAAGGUAAC
rnacentral:rRNA from 1 species